rnacentral:rRNA from 1 species
CAGCAGCCACGGUAAUACGAAGGGUGCAAGCGUUACUCGGAAUUACUGGGCGUAAAGCGUGCGUAGGUGGUGGUUUAAGUCCGUUGUGAAAGCCCUGGGCUCAACCUGGGAAUUGCAGUGGAUACUGGGUCACUAGAGUGUGGUAGAGGAUAGUGGAAUUUCCGGUGUAGCAGUGAAAUGCGUAGAGAUCGGAAGGAACAUCUGUGGCGAAGGCGACUAUCUGGGCCAACACUGACACUGAGGCACGAAAGCGUGGGGAGCAAACAGGAUUAGAGACCCGCGUAGUCCCUGUCUCUUAUAC